UGAAAAUCCUGCACCUACACCAAAGAGUUCAAACAUUGGAGGUGAAUGUGAAUGAUGAUGAUGAUGAUGAAAACUCACGCGCUCUUCCUGCACAGAUGAUCUGAAGAAGAAUGACAGUAGGAGCAGCAAACACUGACACCUCAACAAUCACUAGAAUCACUAGAAGACACAAGAACACC